CUGACAAUAACCUUACAUCUUUUUGGCCUGUUUUUUCUUUUAACUAGCGUAAUUGGUUUUGUCAUGAUGGUAGCAGUGCUUUGAGUGCCAAAAAUGUAUUCCCAGAGCAGCUGUGAUGAAAAACAUAGUAGAAUCACUGCCACUUUCCACUGAGUGCUGUGGAACAGCUCAAGCCUGGCUUUGCUUCAUGGCCAAGGGCCCAGAAUGACUCAGAGGCACCACUGGGAAAGGAAAAAUUCAGGACAAGGGUGACCCUGGGCUGUGCCAGAGGUGACA